UACAGAGGUCCCGAGCGUUGUUCGGAUUCACUGGGCGUAAAGGGUGCGCAGGUGGGUUUGCAAGUUUGAUGUGAAAGCCCCGGGCUUAACCCGGGAAUGGCAUUGAAUACUGCAGAUCUGGAGGAUUGGAGGGGGGACUGGAAUUCUUGGUGUAGCAGUGAAAUGCGCAGAUAUCAGGAGGAACACCGGUGGCGAAGGCGGGUCUCUGGGCCGAUACUGACGCUGAGGAGCGAAAGCGUGGGGAGCGAACAGG
rnacentral:rRNA from 1 species